GAUGAACGCUGGCGGCGUGCUUAACACAUGCAAGUCGAACGAUGAAGCCGGAGCUUGCUCUGGUGGAUUAGUGGCGAACGGGUGAGUAACACGUGAGUAACCUGCCCUUGACUCUGGGAUAAGCGCUGGAAACGGCGUCUAAUACCGGAUACGAGCUUCCACCGCAUGGUGAGUUGCUGGAAAGAAUUUCGGCCAAGGAUGGACUCGCGGCCUAUCAGCUUGUUGGUGAGGUAACGGCUCACCAAGGCGACGACGGGUAGCCGGCCUGAGAGGGUGACCGGCCACACUGGGACUGAGACACGGCCCAGACUCCUACGGGAGGCAGCAGUGGGGAAUAUUGCACAAUGGGCGCAAGCCUGAUGCAGCAACGCCGCGUGAGGGACGAAGGCCUUCGGGUCGUAAACCUCUUUUAGCGGGGAAGAAGCGAAAGUGACGGUACCUGCAGAAAAAGCACCGGCUAACUACGUGCCAGCCGCCGCGGUAA
rnacentral:rRNA from 1 species